GACCUCAUGGCACAAUGGUAGCAUGUCUAACUCCAGAUCAGAAGGUUGUGUGUUCAAAUCACAUUGGGGUCA